ACUCAAGUUCUUUGAAACCUGAAUGGUAA
rnacentral:piRNA from 1 species